rnacentral:rRNA from 1 species
GAUGAACGCUGGCGGCGUGCUUAACACAUGCAAGUCGAACGAAGCACUCUAUUUGAUUUUCUUCGGAAAUGAAGAUUUUGUGACUGAGUGGCGGACGGGUGAGUAACGCGUGGGUAACCUGCCUCAUACAGGGGGAUAACAGUUGGAAACGACUGCUAAUACCGCAUAAGCGCACAGGAUCGCAUGAUCCGGUGUGAAAAACUCCGGUGGUAUGAGAUGGACCCGCGUCUGAUUAGCCAGUUGGCAGGGUAACGGCCUACCAAAGCGACGAUCAGUAGCCGACCUGAGAGGGUGACCGGCCACAUUGGGACUGAGACACGGCCCAAACUCCUACGGGAGGCAGCAGUGGGGAAUAUUGCACAAUGGGGGAAACCCUGAUGCAGCGACGCCGCGUGAGCGAAGAAGUAUUUCGGUAUGUAAAGCUCUAUCAGCAGGGAAGAAGAAUGACGGUACCUGACUAAGAAGCACCGGCUAAAUACGUGCCAGCAGCCGCGGUAAUACGUAUGGUGCAAGCGUUAUCCGGAUUUACUGGGUGUAAAGGGAGCGCAGGCGGUGCGGCAAGUCUGAUGUGAAAGCCCGGGGCUCAACCCCGGUACUGCAUUGGAAACUGUCGUACUAGAGUGUCGGAGGGGUAAGUGGAAUUCCUAGUGUAGCGGUGAAAUGCGUAGAUAUUAGGAGGAACACCAGUGGCGAAGGCGGCUUACUGGACGAUAACUGACGCUGAGGCUCGAAAGCGUGGGGAGCAAACAGGAUUAGAUACCCUGGUAGUCCACGCCGUAAA